GUCUUCAAGAGUGAUAGCUCAGCUGGUAAAACAUGAGACUCUUAAUCUCAGGGCCGUGGCUUCAAGCCCCACAUUGGGCA